UUGAACGCUGGCGGCAUGCCUUACACAUGCAAGUCGAACGGUAACGGGCCUUCGGGUGCCGACGAGUGGCGAACGGGUGAGUAAUACAUCGGAACGUGCCCGAUCGUGGGGGAUAACGAGGCGAAAGCUUUGCUAAUACCGCAUACGAUCUACGGAUGAAAGCAGGGGACCGCAAGGCCUUGCGCGGACGGAGCGGCCGAUGGCAGAUUAGGUAGUUGGUGGGAUAAAAGCUUACCAAGCCGACGAUCUGUAGCUGGUCUGAGAGGAUGAUCAGCCACACUGGGACUGAGACACGGCCCAGACUCCUACGGGAGGCAGCAGUGGGGAAUUUUGGACAAUGGGCGCAAGCCUGAUCCAGCCAUGCCGCGUGCAGGAUGAAGGCCUUCGGGUUGUAAACUGCUUUUGUACGGAACGAGAAGCCUUCUUUUAAUACAGGAGGGUCAUGACGGUACCGUAAGAAUAAGCACCGGCUAACUACGUG
rnacentral:rRNA from 1 species